rnacentral:rRNA from 1 species
UACGAAGGGGGCUAGCGUUGCUCGGAAUCACUGGGCGUAAAGGGUGCGAUAGGCGGGUCUUUAAGUCAGGGGUGAAAUCCGUGGAGCUCAACUCCAGAACUGCCUUCGAUACUGGCGAUCUUGAGUCCGGAAGAGGUGAGUGGAACUCCUAGUGUAGAGGUGGAAUUCGUAGAUAUUAGGAAGAACACCGGUGGCGAAGGCGGUCUGCUGGGCAGUAGCUGACACUGAGGCGCGACAGCGUGGGGAGCAAACAGG